GACGAACGCUGGCGGCGUGCUUAACACGUGCAAGUCGAACGGAAAGGCCUGCUUUCCCUUGUGGAUUGCGGGUACUCGAGUGGCGAACGGGUGAGUAACACGUGAGUGAUCUGCCCCCAACUUGGGUAUAAGCCUGGGAAACUGGGUCUAAUUCCCGGUAGGACUGCAGGGUGGUGCCUGUGGUGGAAAACGAUUUUCUAGUGGUUGGGGAUGAGCUCGCGGCCUAUCAGCUUGUUGGUGGGGUAAUGGCCUACCAAGGCGGCGACGGGUAGCCGGCCUGAGAGGGUGGACGGCCACAUUGGGACUGAGGUACGGCCCAGACGACUACGGGAGGCAGCAGUGGGGAAUAUUGCACAAUGGGCGGAAGCGUGAUGCAGCGACGCAGCGUGGGGGAUGACGGCCUUCGGGUUGUAAACUCCUUUCGACCGCGAGGAAGCCACCUGGUUGGAAGGGUGGUGACGGUAGUGGUAGAAGAAGCACCGGCUAACUACGUG
rnacentral:rRNA from 1 species